CGCUAUCACUCCUACGGGAGGCAGCAGUGGGGAAUAUUGCACAAUGGGGGAAACCCUGAUGCAGCCAUGCCGCGUGUGUGAAGAAGGCCUUCGGGUUGUAAAGCACUUUCAGUAGGGAGGAAGGUAGUGUAGUUAACACCUGCAUUAUUUGACGUUACCUACAGAAGAAGCACCGGCUAACUCCGUGCCAGCAGCCGCGGUAAUACGGAGGGUGCGAGCGUUAAUCGGAAUUACUGGGCGUAAAGCGCAUGCAGGCGGCCUGUUAAGUCAGAUGUGAAAGCCCGGGGCUUAACCUCGGAAUUGCAUUUGAAACUGGCAGGCUAGAGUCUUGUAGAGGGGGUAGAAUUUCAGGUGUAGCGGUGAAAUGCGUAGAGAUCUGAAGGAAUACCAGUGGCGAAGGCGGCCCCCUGGACAAAGACUGACGCUCAGAUGCGAAAGCGUGGGGAGCAAACAGGAUUAGAUACCCUGGUAG
rnacentral:rRNA from 1 species